ACGAAACAACACGGAGUCCCGCGUCGCUCUGCUCAACUCUUUUCCGUGCGAGUAUCUUUUCACUUUGUGGUAGUUUUUACUCGUUUAUACACUAAUGAGCCAGCGUUAGCUUAAACAUGUAACGGUAGCUCUGGAAGCACGGAGGAAAUGAAACGUAAGCUGCAGCUGCGCUGUAGAGAAGGACAAGCAUGGUUGAUAUAUGACCAAAGUCUGAAAUUAACUAAGUUUUUUUCUAUCUGAUGUUGGUGUGACGUGGAACAGGGCCUAACUCCUUGAGGACCUCGUAUUGUUUUGAAGUUACAUGCUGACUUCCAACGCAUUACAACCAUCCCACUGGAAUCUACCUUCAUGGCACAGUUGGAGAGCCAUUUUGCCCAACUGACGUCUAUCUUCCAGACCAAGGGUGGAGUUGCUGGCCAGAAACUAGCUAAACAUCUAAAGAUCCUGCAAUAGGAGACAAGUGAUGUCAACCUUAAAUCCUUAUGCUGUGUUCACACCAAAAGCGGUGCACAUUUUUUGUGCAAGUAGAUCCCAUGCAAAGUCAAUGUACAGACGUGAUUUUUCGCCGGGCGGCGCAAAAAAUUCGCCAGAGUUGAAAUAUUUUAACUGCGAAUAUUCGCAACGUUUUUGGUGUGACCGCAGCAUAAAGGCUCUUUGCAUCCACCUGGGUGAGGAUGAGGGACAGCUUGUUCGGGAGUAUAUGGAUAUCGAAGGAGACGACAUCCUGAGAGACCUGCAAAAGUGGAGCAUGCGCAUAUGUCAUCAACAAGGAGGAGAAAUGGGACAUUGUGAUGACGUUGAAGGACUAAUCAUCCUCGACAACUGGAUCUGUGGCCCGAGCUUGUGCAAAGAUUCUGGGAGUAAUCUAUGCUCUGAUCAUGGCUUACCCCAAAGAGCUAAGAUACUACUAUGAAUUCAUUCAGAAAGUGCUCUUUCGAAUGCAUGGUGAAAAUAUUUCCCCCCAAAUCCUUGAGCUAAAGAACAAAUAACAACAUAUAUGCUGGACUGUAGGAAAUCUUCAGCCGCUCUUGUAAACUGGUGCCAUUAAAGCAUGGCAAAAGAAGAGCACGAGUCGACGUAAUCAAAAAAGCACCAGUCAAACAUCAAACUGGGGAAACGAUGUGGCACACUGAAAAUAUGAUGUUUGUUUCAUUUAUUCAAUCUAUUUUAUAUAACCCAAUAUCACAAAUUACGAAUUUGCCUCAGAGGGCUUUACAAUCUGUACACAUACGACAUUUAUUGAUGUGACAGUCUCGGUUAUAUAUUUGUUUACAUCCAGUUGUGAAAAAGAAUGUGGAAAUAUGUCAUUUCUUGCUGUUUGUUUCAUGUAACAAUGUGUGGAAGGUUAGUUUCCCAUUGCUCCACAGAUCUGUUCUGAUGUUUUCAUUGUCAUGGUUCAUUUAUAGUGGAGUAGAGGCUGAUUGGUAUGUGAAUUACAUGUAAGAAUACUUCCAUUGGUAUGUUUUUUUUUGGUUUUUUUUUGUUGUUGCUAUGAAAGGCACUGUAAGAUGUUUUUUAUGCUACACUGUGUUUAAGUGAAUGGUGUUAUUACAUUGUGUUUCAA